rnacentral:rRNA from 1 species
UACAGAGGGUGCGAGCGUUAAUCGGAAUUACUGGGCGUAAAGCGUGCGUAGACGGUUAUUUAAGUCGGAUGUGAAAGCCCCGGGCUCAACCUGGGAAUUGCAUUCGAGACUGAAUAGCUAGGGUACGGUAGAGGGAAGUGGAAUUUCCGGUGUAGCGGUGAAAUGCGUAGAUAUCGGAAGGAACAUCAGUGGCGAAAGCGACUUCCUGGACCAGUACCGACGUUCAGGCACGAAAGCUAGGGGAGCAAACAGG